AUGGUGCUACUUAAAAGGAGUACUGGGGACAAUGUGCUGCUGUUUGCAAUGCAGAGGUGUGUUUUUCUGAGCUUCUGGAACAUGACAGUCUACACCUGCUCUCCUGCAUCUUCUCAUUCGUGGAGAAUGAUUUUGGAACCAUCUCUUUGCUUCAAAAGAUGGCUUCCUGAGAAUGAGGUACUCCAAAGCAGGAACAGGAACUGUACAGUGGUGUAUGGUACUGCACCGGUGACCACACCAAACAAUUCAGAUGGCGUGAGGUGCCCCCAGACACCACUUCCUGAGGAGCUUCCCAACUUUUUAGGGAAUAUUUGAAGAAAAGAACUGAGGCUGUGCUCAUGACCAUUGAGGUAGAACUGAAUUUUUCCAGCAUAGAAAAGGAGCAGCUACAGAUCUUACUGCAGGGACUAAUAAAACUUUUGUCUUUUUCCUUCUUCUUCCCUGG
rnacentral:lncRNA from 1 species